rnacentral:miRNA from 1 species
AUUAUUGAUCGAAAUUUGGACC